GCCCUGUCCCGCCGCGUCGCGGCCUCUCCGCACCCCACGUCCCGGGAGCCGACCGGGAGACUCUCACGGCGGAGUUCCACAGACCUCGUUAGGUUAAAGGAACCUCGCCUUGCCCCCCACUAAUCGGCUAGAGAGGGAGGCCGGCGAAACAAAAGCCGUAGAGGAAAAUUAAGCGACUUCCCCCUCGGCGGGGAACUUGGAGGUGGGGGAGCGGGGAGCGGCGCGGGGCGCAAGGAGAAGGAAGUGCUGAGCUGGGUUGCCGACGAACCCCGGGCAGGGGGAGGUGGGGGGCUGCGGCAGAAGAAAGACAAACAUCUGGGGAUCGGACCAUAUGCCGGAGCUUUGUCUUGUCCUUCAAAGUUCGGCUGCCCUUGAAGUGAUUUGUCAGGCGGCCCACGGGUGACAGGGAGGAUGUGCAGCGGGGAGCGGGGGCGGGACAUGCCGGGGGGAGCGGAGAGGGCUAGAAGAGAGGGGAGGAAGGGGGGACGCCAACAAGAGGGGGAGCAAAGUGACCCCGCCGCCCGAGGAACGGUAGAAACCGGGAUCGCGGAGGUGCGAGCCCGAGCCCGGGAGCGGAGCGCUUCCCGGGGAGACGCCAAGACGGCGAGAAAGGAGGAGCGGGAACGCAGAGGUUAAGCGGAGGGAAGGCCGAGGAGAAACAGCCAGAGGACGGGAAGGAGGAAAUAGACGGGGAGAAGAAACUGAAGAUUAGUCGUUGAGGUGUAUUAAGAAAGAGGACAUGUCGCCUAUUUUAGGAAAAGUGGCUUUGAGCUCCCCCCGCACCCCCACCAUUUUUUCUUUCUCUUUUGCCCGCCAACCGCUGAACUGAUUAGACUGUAAUUAAGGCCAUAAAGCCCUCAGAUUAUACACCUGUUUAUUCACUGAAGUCGGGGUCUCAUCAAGCAAAUUAGCUGCUUGCAGGCUACACAUUGGGCCUCGAGCUUGCCUGAUUAAUGAAGUUUAUUGGGAGCUGUUAAAAGCAUUAACUGGAGAAAAUCUCAGCAAUUCGUCAUAUUUAAGGGAUGAAAAUUAAAUCUUGCUAUGCAAAUGAGAAAAAAAUUUUAAACCAUCUUUGGGGGGUUACUGUCUGCAUAUUAUUUUGCUUUAAAAUUCUGUUCAGGAAAUAGGAAUUAACAUGAAAUAUUAUUUGCCCUUAAAGUUAUCAAAAAUAUUGAAUCGCACCUUAUGUGGCAUUGUGGGGAGAGAAAAAGAAAACAUAAGGAAAUUCCCAUAUAGUCCGUUUCCCAGUGCAAAGAAUUUUCUAAGACACCUAAUCACAAAGCCAACUUUCACGAGAAACCCAGUUUUUAAAAUUAAUGUAUCCAGUUACAGAAUGAGAUUUGGGAGUAGUCCUUCAAGGGGUUUAAUGUUUGAUGGUGGGUGGGGGGGACGAUGAAAUCAGCAGAGAGAGGAGGGGAGUUCAUGUAAGUGCCCUGGAUAAGGAGCACGUGUGAGAAUGGCAGAAAAGCAGUAGAGUGGCAAGAAAAAGUAUCCAAAAUGAAUCAAUACUCUCAUAAACUGGCUGUAGAAAAUGUUUCUGUACAGUGUUUUUUACUGUAACCACUAUGGUUCUUUGGACAGGUCGGGGAAGGUGUGAUUAUGAAAAUAAACAAGGGAAGUGAGGGAAAUAUAACCAAGUGGAAAAAGGAAAUGGAGUGCAAAUUGAGAACAUAAUCCAGAAUUCGUAAAAGUGGUAUGGAUAAAGAAGGUCAAAAUGGUCUCUGAUGAAAAGAAACUUUUAAAAUGCUUGGAAAAGUUAAUGAAUUAGAUUUCCCUGCACUUGAAGAUAUUAGGAUUGGGAGAUCAAGACUCCCAUCAGCCAAAUCAAGAAUAUUCACAAUUGACAGGAAAACUCAAAGUUUCUUUUUCCCCACCAGAGAAAUGUCUCCCACCCCCAUAGCUAAACAGUGAAAUCCGAAGUGGGUAGAGCGUGCCUUUUUUUUUUCUUUGAGGCAAGUUUUUGAAUCGUGCGCUGGAGGUGAAAAAGAAAUGAUUUCAGAAUAGUGAACAUUUACAAAUAAAAAUGUGUCUACUACGCAAUGAGGAAUUUUAAAUUUGCAGUGAAAGUCUGACAUCUGGUGGUCAGAAAGAGGAGCAUCAGAAGAGGAGGCUAUUGUAAAAUUUCUAUUGGCUUUCAUAAAAUAAAAACCAA
rnacentral:lncRNA from 1 species